AAGGUGAGGCGCUCUGUCGGGGAGCACUUUGUGUUCUCAGGAAAGUCCGGACAGCACAGGGCGGCGCGCUGUGGAAAGCACAGAUGGGCGUAAGCUUAUGUUGCGCGUAACAGAAAACAACCGGCCCCGGUUCCGGGACCAAGGGUGAAAACGUGGGGUAAGAGCCCACGGGGAUAUGCGGCGACACAUAUCCGGUACGCGUCCGCGCGCUGCAAGGCCAAAUAUACCGGCACAUAAGGGUUGCCCGCCCUUUGCCGGGGGGUAGGCUGCAUCAGAUAAAUGACAGGGGGGCGCCCCAGCGCUCACAGAACCCGGCUUACAGUCUCACCUUUUAC
rnacentral:RNase_P_RNA from 1 species